GAUGAACGCUGGCGGCGUGCCUAAUACAUGCAAGUCGAGCGAACGGACGAGAAGCUUGCUUCUCUGAUGUUAGCGGCGGACGGGUGAGUAACACGUGGAUAACCUACCUAUAAGACUGGGAUAACUUCGGGAAACCGGAGCUAAUACCGGAUGAUAUUUUGAACCGCAUGGUUCAAAAGUGAAAGACGGUCUUGCUGUCACUUAUAGAUGGAUCCGCGCUGCAUUAGCUAGUUGGUAAGGUAACGGCUUACCAAGGCAACGAUGCAUAGCCGACCUGAGAGGGUGAUCGGCCACACGGGAACUGAGACACGGUCCUGACUCCUACGGGAGGCAGCAGUAGGGAAUCUUCCGCAAUGGGCGAAAGCCUGACGGAGCAACGCCGCGUGAGUUAUGAAGGUCUUCGGAUCGUAAAACUCUGUUAUUAGGGAAGAACAUAUGUGUAAGUAACUGUGCACAUCUUGACGGUACCUAAUCAGAAAGCCACGGCUAACUACGUG
rnacentral:rRNA from 1 species